GGGGAUGUGACUCAGUGGUAGAGUGCUUGCUUGACAAGCAUGAAGCCCUGACACACACACACACACAGACACACACACACACACACACACACACACACACACAGCUUCUCUU
rnacentral:tRNA from 1 species